GAAUAGUGAACAAUGGGGGGAACCCUGAUCCAGUCAUGCCGCGUGUGUGAAGAAGGCCUUAUGUUUGUAAAGCACUUUACGCGAGGAGGAGGAGCCCUUGGUUAAUAACCAUGAUGCUGGGACGUUACGAGCAGUCUACGCCCCGGCAACAGCUGUGCCAGCAUCCGCGGUAAUACAGAGGGUGCAAGCGUUAAUCGGAUUUACUGGGCGUAAAGCGCGCGUAGGUGGCCUAUUAAGUCAAAUGUGAAAUCCCCGAGCUUAACUUGGGAAUUGCAUUCGAUACUGGUUGGCUAGAGUAUGGGAGAUGAUGGUAGAAUUCCAGGUGUAGCGGUGAAAUGCGUAGAGAUCUGGAGGAAUACCGAUGGCGAAGGCAGCCAUCUGGCCUAAUACUGACACUGAGGUGCGAAAGCAUGGGGAGCAAAC
rnacentral:rRNA from 1 species